GAACUUACUUCAGCGUCAGCAGUUUGAGAAAACAACUCCCUUUACAGGUGCUGAUAAGGCCAAGGGCACAAAACAGCGUAACCAUUGAUCUGUUAGGUUUCAUAGCGAGGCGCGGGAAGUGUGGUAGGAUCAGUUUGUAACUUCCUCCCUCUUCCUUGGAAUGCAUAAAGGAGUAGGAGCACGACUUCUGUGGCAGAGCUGACAUGACUGAACUGUGAUGUUUGAUGUGUGUUGGCUCUCCUGCGCGCAGUAAUAAAUAGCUUGAUCACAGCUCUUUCUGUGUUGCAGACUUUAUUUACAAACUUCCACGAUACCCCCCACCCUCCCACUGUGAACCUGAAUUGAAUAUUCAGAAGAAAAUGAAUGGAUAGACUCACAUUUGUUUAAAUACUUCUAGAAAUCUGAGCUGUUGGUGUGGUAAUAAUAUUAGAGCUGGCAAUCUUUCUUACUGAAUCUCUACUGUGAGUCAUGUUACCUGAGAUUAAUUCUAUGUUUACCUGACAGCCUGGACAAAUGUGCUGUGUGAAGGAUAACAGUUCGCCACGGUCGCUGUCCACAUGGGUCAGUGGGACCAAGCAGCACUCUGCUAAUGUGUGGACUCUGACCAGCAACAUCCAGCAAGACCCAGGCAGCGUUUUCUAUCUCCCAGCUGGUGUUUUUUGUUUGUCUGUGACUGGAGAGUCAGAUUUUUGUUGAAGCUGGAGGAACAGAGAAGUUAAUACACGCUACUGAUCCCUGAUGGGAGAAUCAUCACCUCUGCCAACAAAGAAGCCUGGUGGAUGUUUGUUUACAGUCUGAUGAUGGGACAUCAUGCUCUGCAUCUUCAAAGUUUGUCUCUUGAUUAUUAUUCAUACACAGUAAUAUGAAGCAUGCUCAUAUCUAGUAUAACUGGACCAACCUGGUGCUCUUCAUUUAUGGAGGCUGUUGAGUCUGAAUGUUGGAUGUUGUGUAUCUCGUGUUCUCUGGGCUUUGUUGUCCUCAGUCUGUUUGCAGGAUCAGAAAACAAAACCAGGAGACCUGUAAAUGUUUCUUCUCCAAUUGGAUGAUGAUAAGACUGUGACAUGGGAUGCCACCUUUAGCCUUGUGAUGAAGCAAAGCUCAGGAAGAAGUGUGAUUAAAUGGUACCCACAUGUGUGCUGCUGAGAAGGAUGUACAGGGGCACCUGCAGCCAAAUCCAAGCCUCCUCAGGUUAGUUGUAGUUGCAGAAUGCUUUAGGACUGAGACAGCUGAGGCAUCAAAUGUUUGAUUAAAUGGAUGAAAAAGAGAAGUUUCUUCCCUAUAAUUAUCACUUUUUAAAAUCUGUAGCAACUUCAAGUCUGUCAGCGUGCUGAGGUCACAGAAACAAGAAAAGCAGCUUCAGACUUCAGAGUGUUAUUUACAGUUUUCUGACAUCAUGAUCUCCCCUGAAGUUUAUCACUAUUAUACAAGCAAGCAGAGCAGCAGUUUGUGCCCACAGAUGGUGACGGUGUGGAGAGACGGUGGUGUUUCCUCAGAAGAAGUAGCAGAGUCACCAAGGACACGAGUCCAUCUCACCACCUUGACUUACUGACUGAUGCUCGUCUGCACUGCACAGAGGAAAUCAACUGACCGAGGAGUGUUUCUGGGUGAGGGAGAGAGGAGUCAUCAUCCAGGUAAAGUGACGUGGAUCAGUGGAUACACUUGUCUCCGCUUUAAAGGAGACACUCUUAGAGAGAGACGAUCCGAGUCAUCCUUAAAUAUGGGCAGGAUAUCAGUCUUGGACUGUCUAACCUGCCGGAGCAGCACUGAAUGAUCACCACACAUGAUCAGUUCCUGCAACAUUCAGCAGCUUUGCUUUUGGGUCAAAGGUCAACCAGCUGGAGAGGAAACUACACCAGUGUACUGGGAUGUUUCACCAACACGUGCCAGACGCUGUUCCUUCAUGGUGACAUCACCAGAGACAGCCCCGCCCACCUCAGGACCUCGCCAUUGAUCAUGAUGGUUAUAAUAAUGACAGCGAGCGGAACUAAGACUGUAAAAAUCAGAAUGUUUAGAUGCUUUCUAAUUAUUAAGGAAUACUGAGAGCCUCUUUCUGUGUUUUGUCUGUUUUGGGUUGUUUUUUUUUUUACCUCAUUUGUUACUAACAAAGUUCACCAAACUCACACAGUUUACAUUCUGUAUGUUUCCAUCUUUACCAGCCACACUCUGCCUGCAUUUAGAAAACAAACCUUAGAAAUCGUCGUUUUUCUCUUUUGUAAUUUUGUAAUUCAGUGAAUAUACUGCGCUGCUUCCUUUUAUUGCGUCACACAUGGCUUUAAGUUUUUCAGUGUCCAGUUAUUUUUUACUGCUGUUUGAAUUCUCUGUAUGUUUGACCCUGUAGACUGUUUAAUGGACUGCUUGUCUUCCUGUUUGUAACCGCCGCCUGUUUUUGACUAAAGAUUUGGAUUUCUGACUUUAACACAGCCUCUGCGUGUCCUCCCUUUGUGUCCUCUUCCUCUGUGAAUGUGUUGCAUGUGUCACAGAUUCAUUUUAUUAACAGCUUUCCCACAGUGAGUUGCAUCAGCAUUCAUUCACAGCACAUUUCAGAAGGAUUCAGAUUAAUACA